CGUUAGCGGCGGACGGGUGAGUAACACGUGGGUAACCUACCUAUAAGACUGGGAUAACUCCGGGAAACCGGGGCUAAUACCGGAUAACACAUGAAACCGCAUGGUUUCAUGAUGAAAGACGGUUUUGCUGUCACUUAUAGAUGGACCCGCGGCGUAUUAGCUAGUUUGUAAGGUAACGGCUUACCAAGGCAACGAUACGUAGCCGACCUGAGAGGGUGAUCGGCCACACUGGAACUGAGACACGGUCCAGACUCCUACGGGAGGCAGCAGCA
rnacentral:rRNA from 1 species